UACGGGGGGGGCAAGCGUUAUCCGGAUUUAUUGGGUUUAAAGGGUGCGUAGGCGGGUUAUUAAGUCAGUGGUGAAAGCCUACAGCUUAACUGUAGAACUGCCAUUGAUACUGAUGAUCUUGAGUACGAUUGAGGUAGGCGGAAUGUGUCAUGUAGCGGUGAAAUGCUUAGAUAUGACACAGAACACCGAUUGCGAAGGCAGCUUACUAAGUCGUAACUGACGCUGAUGCACGAAAGCGUGGGGAGCAAACAGG
rnacentral:rRNA from 1 species